rnacentral:rRNA from 1 species
AGAGUUUGAUUAUGGCUCAGGAUGAACGCUAGCGGCAGGCUUAACACAUGCAAGUCGAGGGGCAGCGGGAUGUAGCAAUACAUUGCCGGCGACCGGCGGAUGGGUGCGUAACGCGUAUGCAACCUACCUUAUACAGGGGAAUAACCUUUCGAAAGGGAGACUAACACCCCAUAGUAUUGAUUUAAGGCAUCUUAGAUUAAUUAAAUAUUUAUAGGUAUAAGAUGGGCAUGCGUAUGAUUAGCUAGUUGGUAAGGUAACGGCUUACCAAGGCGACGAUCAUUAGGGGUUCUGAGAGGAAGGUCCCCCACACUGGUACUGAGACACGGACCAGACUCCUACGGGAGGCAGCAGUGAGGAAUAUUGGUCAAUGGGCGCAAGCCUGAACCAGCCAUGCCGCGUGCAGGAAGACGGCCUUAUGGGUUGUAAACUGCUUUUACAUAAGACUAACCGUAUAUUUGCGAAUAUACCUGAAUGUAUUAUGAGAAUAAGGAUCGGCUAACUCCGUGCCAGCCGCCGC